rnacentral:rRNA from 1 species
UACGAAGGGGGCUAGCGUUGCUCGGAAUCACUGGGCGUAAAGGGCGCGUAGGUGGCCACUUCAAGCGUGCGGUGAAAGUCGGGGGCUCAACCCCUGAUCGGCCGUGCGAACUGGGGGGCUGGAGCACUGUAGAGGCAGGCGGAAUUCCGGGUGUAGCGGUGGAAUGCGUAGAGAUCCGGAAGAACACCGGUGGCGAAGGCGGUCUGACUGGGCAGUAGCUGGACACUGAGGCGCGACAGCGUGGGGAGCAAACAGG